rnacentral:ncRNA from 1 species
UGUUCCGCCCCGCAGCGGGCGGCUAAGAGGGAAGCGGAUGCAAUUUCCGCGCGGUCCCGCCGCUGUGAAUCGCCAGCGAAGCUCCAUGGCGCAAAUGCCGGUCACUGAGUCAUCGGGAAGACGGAGCCAGCUAUGACGCGUAAGCCAGAAGACCUGCAUGGAA